UUGGGAUCAUUACAAGUUGUGUAGAGAGUUGAGCAGUCAAUCGUGUCUUUCCCCUAUGUGGAUUUUGUAUGUGUUCCCUAGUGAGGGAAAGCAUCUUUUGCCUUAUGACUACCAAUCAAGUACCUAUAUUAACAUUUACAAUAAUUCAAAAAACAAAAUUUGGGAAAUGGGCGCGAUUUGCUAGAUGUAAAGCUGUAUACCUAUAUUAACAUUUACAAUAAUUCGAAAAACAAAAUUUGGGGAAAUGGACGCGAUUUGCUAGAUGUAAAGCUGUAUGGCCGUAAACAAAAGCUGCUUAGAGUUUGCUAAUAUUACUGGAAAUUUAAAGUAGCUUUCUUCACUAUGUGCAUCCAAAGGGAUCUUUUACACAAAUGACUAUCACGAAAC
rnacentral:lncRNA from 1 species